UCGUUCAGUGACGCGUUGCUAAAGCAACGCUCUACUCUUCUAAUCUGCCCUUUCUGAGUUAUUGGAGGAGGGACAGAUCCCUUGCACUUCCCAAUUGUGGCCAGCAGGGGCUUACUUCACACACUAGUGGUGAUGUCAUCAUUACCAGCCACAUCUACUACGAGGGGGAUGGGCACUCACCCCAUGCUGUAGCACUGUAUAAAAAGGCCCUAAGGAGGCCACACUGUAAACACUCUUGAGAAAGCGUACCGCCAGUACUUGAAACGUGUCGAGUUUUCUGAAAGCCUGUACAUUAUCUACACUGUAAUUCAUCACACUAGAGACUGUGGACUUUUUCUGUCGAUAAGCCAGAAAAAUGAAACUCACUGUGAGGAAGCCACCGGCUCAGUAGCACAGGAGGAAGGUGCUUCAACAUCUCGCGAAGUAUCUGCUGACAGUGGGUCCUGCAACUGGCACGUGAUUUCCAGGGCGCUUCACUGCCAGAAGGCGGACUCCUGCACGCCCAUCAGGACAGGACUAAGCCCAGCUAGCCAAAGCCUACAUGAUGAGGAAAAAAAAAAGUGGAGGCAUGUGUCUCGCCACCUAUCAAACAUCCACAACGUGCAGCUCCUAACGCUCGACCGUUUGGACAGCAUGAUUGGUGUUUGGCAAGAAACAAAUAGCAUUUUAACAAACAUAGCAGAAAAUAUGCGGGGGGUGGCAAGCAGCAGCAUGAGUGCAUCCACCCAAACUAUUGUAGAAGCCGAAGAAGCAAUACAGGUUGCUCCUACUGUCCCCAGGGGUGCCAGAACAAGGGGUGGGAGACAUAUAAGGCCCCCUAGGCUCACAGACCUGUAAAAUUCUUUUUUCAGAAUGCUAUAAUAAAAGUUUAUAUGUU